rnacentral:rRNA from 1 species
AAAUAGAUACCCGGGUAGUCCACGCCGUAAACGAUGAGUGCUAAGUGUUAGGGGGUUUCCGCCCCUUAGUGCUGGCAGCUAACGCAUUAAGCACUCCGCCUGGGGAGUACGGUCGCAAGACUGAAACUCAAAGGAAUUGACGGGGGGCCCGCACAAGCGGUGGAGCAUGUGGUUUAAUUCGAAGCAACGCGAAGAACCUUACCAGGUCUUGACAUCCCAUUGACCACUAUGGAGACAUAGUUUUCCCUUCGGGGACAACGGUGACAGGUGGUGCAUGGUUGUCGUCAGCUCGUGUCGUGAGAUGUUGGGUUAAGUCCCGCAACGAGCGCAACCCUUGUUCUUAGUUGCCAUCAUUUAGUUGGGCACUCUAAGGAGACUGCCGGUGACAAACCGGAGGAAGGUGGGGAUGACGUCAAAUCAUCAUGCCCCUUAUGACCUGGGCUACACACGUGCUACAAUGGACGGUACAAACGGUUGCCAACCCGCGAGGGGGGAGCUAAUCCGAUAAAACCGUUCUCAGUUCGGAUUGUAGGCUGCAACUCGCCUACAUGAAGCC